rnacentral:tRNA from 1 species
GCCACUUGAGCUUAGUGGUAGAGGCUCUACCGUAGAGCGUCUGCUUCGUAAGCGAAGGUCGUCAGUUCAAUCCUGGCAAGUGGCU